AGAGUUUGAUCCUGGCUCAGAACUAACGCUUGUGGUGUGUCUUAGUCAUGCGAGUCGAACGAGAAAGUUCUCUUCGGAGAGCGAGUACAGUGGCGGACGGGUGAGUAACACGUGGGUGAUCUGCCCUUAGGUUGGGAAUAACACUUCUAACGAGGUGCUAAUACCGAAUAACAAAGCCGAUUGCGAAAUCAGUUUUUAAAGGUGGCCUCUACUUGUAAGCUGCCGCCUGAGGAUGAGCCCGCGUCGUAUUAGCUUGUUGGUGGGGUAAUGGCCUACCAAGGCAACGAUGCGUAGCCGGCCUGAGAGGGUGAACGGCCACACUGGAACUGAGACAAGGUCCAGUCUCCUACGGGAGCCAGCAGUCUAGAAAUUUGCACAAUCGUCGAAAGGCGGAUGCAGCGACACCACGUGGAGGAUGAAGCCCCUCGGGGUGUAAACUCCUGUCAGUUGGGAAGAAGGCGCGAGUGUUAAUACCACUUGUUGCUUGACGGUACCUUCAGAGGAAGCUCCGGCUAACUACGUGCCAGCAGCCGCGGUAAUACGUAGGGAGCGAGCGUUGUUCGGAUUUACUGGGCGUAAAGAGCACGUAGGCGGGCAUGCAAGUCGGUUGUGAAAUCCUCUGGCUCAACCAGAGAACUGCAAUCGAAACUGCAUGCCUUGAGUCCAGCAGAGGAAAUCGGAAUCUUAGGUGUAGCGGUGAAAUGCGUAGAUAUCUAAGAGAACAUCAGUGGCGAAGGCGGAUUUCUGGGCUGGCACUGACGCUGAGGUGCGAAAGCUGAGGUAGCGAACAGGAUUAGAUACCCUGGUAGUCUCAGCCGUAAACGAUGGGUACUAGGUGUUGGGGGACAUUGACCCCCUCAGUGCCGUAGCUAACGCAUUAAGUACCCCGCCUGGGGAGUACGGCCGCAAGGCUGAAACUCAAAGGAAUUGACGGGGACCCGCACAA
rnacentral:rRNA from 1 species